rnacentral:rRNA from 1 species
CAGUAGCCACGUAACACGGAGGGUGCAAGCGUUAAUCGGAAUUACUGGGCGUAAAGCGCACGCAGGCGGUCUGACAAGUCAGAUGUGAAAUCCCCGGGCUUAACCUGGGAACUGCAUUUGAAACUGUCAGGCUGGAGUCUUGUAGAGGGGGGUAGAAUUCCAGGUGUAGCGGUGAAAUGCGUAGAGAUCUGGAGGAAUACCGGUGGCGAAGGCGGCCCCCUGGACAAAGACUGACGCUCAGGUGCGAAAGCGUGGGGAGCAAACAGGAUUAGAUACCCGAGUAGUCCCUGUCUCUUAUACA